UUUCAAAAUGGUGGAUAUAAAAGAUAAUAGACCUAAAAAUGAGGCCAAAUCCUAUCAGCACUUAUUUAAAAUUCAAAAGUGUUGUUUGCCUAAGGAAGUCUUAUUCAGUUGGCCUAUAAAAAGACUACAAUAAAAUUAAAUUAAAUUAAAUUAAAAAAAAAAAAAGAAGAGAAAAUGAGGCAAGAGAUAAAAGAAAAAGGUUGCUAGAGAAAUUAGGACAGUACAGAGAAGAGGAAAAAAAUUAGUACAACUAUUCUAUCAUCUCCAUUUUUUUUUUUUGGUUAGGCAUAGCAUGCCAAAAAUCCAUGGGUGAGAAACCCUGAAAUUAUUUGGAUGCAAAAUCCAUGAAUGAGCACUAAGUCACUCAGAAAAAUCAUUAGAUACGAAAUCCAUUAUUGGGUGGAAAAUCCUUAAAUUUAUUUGAGAUGAAAAAUCCUUAUGGGUGAGAAACCUCGUCUUUGAUAGAAAUUCUC
rnacentral:lncRNA from 1 species